UAGGGAAUCUUCGGCAAUGGACGAAAGUCUGACCGAGCAACGCCGCGUGAGUGAAGAAGGUUUUCGGAUCGUAAAACUCUGUUGUUAGAGAAGAACAAGGACGUUAGUAACUGAACGUCCCCUGACGGUAUCUAACCAGAAAGCCACGGCUAACUACGUGCCAGCAGCCGCGGUAAUACGUAGGUGGCAAGCGUUGUCCGGAUUUAUUGGGCGUAAAGCGAGCGCAGGCGGUUUCUUAAGUCUGAUGUGGAAGCCCCCGGCUCAACCGGGGAGGGUGAUUGGAAACUGGGAGACUUGAGUGCAGAAGAGGAGAGUGGAAUUCCAUGUGUAGCGGUGAAUUGCGUAGAUAUAUGGAGGAACACCAGUGGCGAAGGCGGCUCUCUGGUCUGUAACUGACGCUGAGGCUCGAAAGCGUGGGGAGCAAACAGG
rnacentral:rRNA from 1 species